rnacentral:rRNA from 1 species
UACGUAGGGUGCAAGCGUUAAUCGGAAUUACUGGGCGUACAGCGUGCGCAGGCGGUUAUGCAAGACAGAGGUGAAAUCCCCGGGCUCAACCUGGGAACUGCCUUUGUGACUGCAUAGCUAGAGUACGGUAGAGGGGGAUGGAAUUCCGCGUGUAGCAGUGAAAUGCGUAGAUAUGCGGAGGAACACCGAUGGCGAAGGCAAUCCCCUGGACCUGUACUGACGCUCAUGCACGAAAGCGUGGGGAGCAAACAGG